UGGGGAAUAUUGCACAAUGGGGGAAACCCUGAUGCAGCAACGCCGCGUGAGUGAUGAAGGUCUUCGGAUUGUAAAGCUCUGUCUUCGGGGACGAUAAUGACGGUACCCGAGGAGGAAGCCACGGCUAACUACGUGCCAGCAGCCGCGGUAAUACGUAGGUGGCAAGCAUUAUCCGGAUUUACUGGGCGUAAAGGGUGCGUAGGCGGAUUUUUAAGUGAGAUGUGAAAUACCCGGGCUCAUCCUGGGGGCUGCAUUUCAAACUGGAAAUCUAGAGUGCAGGAGAGGAAAGUGGAAUUCCUAGUGUAGCGGUGAAAUGCGUAGAGAUUAGGAAGAACACCAGUGGCGAAGGCGACUUUCUGGACUGUAACUGACGCUGAGGCACGAAAGCGUGGGGAGCAAACA
rnacentral:rRNA from 1 species